rnacentral:rRNA from 1 species
AACUUCUGAAUGUGACCUCGGAUCAGGUAGGAAUACCCGCUGAACUUAAGCAUAUCAAUAAGCGGAGGAAAAGAAACCAACAGGGAUUGCCCUAGUAACGGCGAGUGAAGCGGCAACAGCUCAAAUUUGAAAUCUGGCUCUCGGGCCCGAGUUGUAAUUUGUAGAGGAUGACUUUGAUGCGGUGCCUUCCGAGUUCCCUGGAACGGGACGCCAUAGAGGGUGAGAGCCCCGUCUGGUUGGAUGCCAAAUCUCUGUAAGUCUCCUUCGACGAGUCGAGUAGUUUGGGAAUGCUGCUCUAAAUGGGAGGUAUAUGUCUUCUAAAGCUAAAUACCGGCCAGAGACCGAUAGCGCACAAGUAGAGUGAUCGAAAGAUGAAAAGCACUUUGAAAAGAGAGUUAAAAAGUACGUGAAAUUGUUGAAAGGGAAGCGUUUAUGACCAGACUUGGGCUUGGUUAAUCAUCUGGGGUUCUCCCCAGUGCACUUUUCCAGUCCAGGCCAGCAUCAGUUUUCGCCGGGGGACAAAGGCUUCGGGAAUGUGGCUCCCCUCGGGGAGUGUUAUAGCCCGUUGUGCAAUGCCCUGGCGGGGACUGAGGUUCGCGCUUCUGCAAGGAUGCUGGCGUAAUGGUCAUCAACGACCCGUCUUGAAACACGGACCAAGG